CGGACGGGUGAGUAACACGUGGAUAACCUACCUAUAAGACUGGGAUAACUUCGGGAAACCGGAGCUAAUACCGGAUAAUAUAUUGAACCGCAUGGUUCAAUAGUGAAAGACGGUUUUGCUGUCACUUAUAGAUGGAUCCGCGCCGCAUUAGCUAGUUGGUAAGGUAACGGCUUACCAAGGCAAAGAUGCGUAGCCGACCUGAGAGGGUGAUCGGCCACACUGGAACUGAGACACGGUCCAGACUCCUACGGGAGGCAGCAGCG
rnacentral:rRNA from 1 species